GACGAACGCUGGCGGCGUGCUUAACACAUGCAAGUCGAACGGUAAGGCCCUUCGGGGUACACGAGUGGCGAACGGGUGAGUAACACGUGGGUGAUCUGCCCUGCACUCCGGGAUAAGCCUGGGAAACUGGGUCUAAUACCCGAUAGGACUCCGGUCUGCAUGGUCUGGGGUGGAAAGCUUUCGCGGUGUGGGAUGGGCGGGAGCGGCGGCCUUUCAGCUUGUUGGUGGGGUGAUGGACUACCAAGGCGACGAGGGGUCGCCGGCCUGGGGGGGUGACCGGCCCCACGGCGACUGAGAUACGGCACAGACUCCUACGGGAGGCAGCAGUGGGGAAUAUUGCACAAUGGGCGCAAGCCUGGUGCAACCACGCCGCGUGGGGGAUGACGUCCUUCGGGUUGUAAACCUCUUUCAGCAUCGACGAAGCGAAAGUGACGGUAGGUGCAGAAGAAGCACCGGCCAACUACGUGCCAGCCGCCGCGGUAA
rnacentral:rRNA from 1 species